AGUGAACGCUGGCGGCGUGCCUAAUACAUGCAAGUAGAACGGAGUGGCGCACGGGUGAGUAAUGUAUAGCUAAUCUGCCCUACACUAGAGGACAACAGUUGGAAACGACUGAUAAUACUCUCUAGUGUAGGGUGAGGCUAUAUUGUAUCAGCUAGUUGGGUAGGUAAUGGCGCACCAAGGCUAUGACGCAUAACUGGUUUGAGAGGAUGAUCAGUCACACUGGAACUGAGACACGGUCCGGACUCCUACGGGAGGCAGCAGUAGGGAAGAUUGCUCAAUGGGGGUAACCCUGAAGCAGCAACGCCGCGUGGAGGAUGACACUUUUCGGAGCGUAAACUCCUUUUGUUAGGGAAGCGGUACCUAACGAAUAAGCACCGGCUAACUCCGUGCCAGCCGCCGCGGUAAUUC
rnacentral:rRNA from 1 species